rnacentral:rRNA from 1 species
UACGUAGGGUGCAAGCGUUAAUCGGAAUUACUGGGCGUAAAGCGUGCGCAGGCGGUGAUGUAAGACAGGUGUGAAAUCCCCGGGCUUAACCUGGGAACUGCAUUUGUGACUGCAUCGCUGGAGUGCGGCAGAGGGGGAUGGAAUUCCGCGUGUAGCAGUGAAAUGCGUAGAUAUUGGGAGGAACACCAGUGGCGAAGGCGGCUCACUGGACCGGUACUGACGCUGAUGCGCGAAAGCGUGGGGAGCAAACGGG